GGGGGUGAAUAGGUGUAAAACGGUAAAAAUAAAAACUCUCGAUGUAAAUAAAAGAGAUAGCGGAAAAUAAAAAGAGCACACCGAGAUUUUAACAUGGGAAAACUCCAAUCCGGAGUGAAAAAACCCACGGGACCGAUCACACGAAGAAAAUCCACUAAGAAAACUUGAGUACAAGUGAUUUAACCGAAAUACAUGACUCAAUUUACCGAAUUCUCGUUGUUGAUUGUCUUCGCCGGUCCUCGAUCGAUAGGAAUCCUCUAAUCGACCUCGCCGCAACUCCUUGCCGCGUCAACGCCUCAACUCCUCGAAGCGUCCACCGAAUCCUCGGCUUCACGCGAGAUCCACGCGCCGAACCUCCUUCCGGAGCUUGUAGAAUUGAUGAUUUGUGGUAAUUAAGACUUAAAAUCCCAUAAGCAAUGAGGGUUCACCUUCAAAUCAAACAUCUACUUGAUUCUCGAAGAAAAUCUCGAGUUAAAACUUAAGAAUCAAGUCGAUCGUUGAUUAUAUGAAACUUGUUAUAUGAAUAAAAUCAUAAGAAUGUGAAAACAAGUUUCUAGGAUUUUAGAACAGCAGAAAUUCAAAGCCUCAACUCAUAUGAUGACCCCCAUGGCUUAUUUAUAGGUUUAGAAGACUUAGAAGUAGACUAGGAUUGUAAAAAGUCUAUUUUAAAAACUGGUGUCGUCCUCAGGGACCGGUCCUCUCGAGGAGACCGGUCUGUCAGAGACCGGUGCCUUGGGUGGGAGACCGGUCCCUCGCUGCGUGACAGAAAACACAACGUUCGGGAACCGGUCUCUCAUGCCAGAGACCGGUCUCUCUCUGCGAGUCAAAAAUCCCAACGUUCGGGAACCGGUCUCCCAUGCCAGAAACUGGGUGCACCGACCAGGAGACCGGUCCCUCAGAUCAGGAGACCAGUUGCAUUAGUCUUUCACACAAAGAGGACUCUCAGGAACCGGUCUCUCAUCUCAGGGGACCAGUCUAAGCACAUUAAAAACCUCAGUUUGUGUUUUCUAUUGCAAUCCAAGUCUUCUAAACUUAUAUUUAGGUAGUUUAAACACACCACAAAUGAUCUAACAUACAUACCUGAGGUGUCGAGCUUUCCGAAUAGGUCUUUGAUUCUUCAAAGUGAAUCUUCUCUUCAAACUUCCGCGAUAAACUCUUCAAGACUCCAUUCGACUUCACGAAAUCCGCCAACCUAGAAAAUC
rnacentral:lncRNA from 1 species